UUAUUGUUUGGAGGCUUGGAAUAUACGACGAACUUUCGUCGAAGUUUCGCAUAUAUGUUAGACUUCGAUUUCCAACUCAAAAAUCGACUUGAUUACUCAAAACCCAUUCAAUUCUAUCUAAUCAACUCAGAACAUGCACCGAAUUCCAUGGAUCUCGAACAAAUUCACAACAUUUUCCCGAUUUUUAUUUUGAAUUAUGAUUGGAAACUUUAGAAAACAUGUUUAAUGGUGGCAAUAAAGGGAAACAUCAGCGAUGAAGUGCAAUGACGGAGGGAAUACAAUUGAGAAGGCAAAUGAACUGGAUAGGAAACUCGCGCGGUUGGUUGGGAGGGUGAAUUUGUUAGGUUUGUUGUUGGAUUUUUUGCCAGAAAGUUGACCUAAAACUGGGUUGAAAUUUAAAAAAUGGUGAAUUGGAUUAAAAGUUUGAUGUACAUGUGUAGUUAUUAUUAUCAUUUUUGCAAUUAUGUUGGUUAUAAUAGUUUAGUCCUUGAAUUCUUGGUUACUUUGGUAUACCCUAACCAGGGAAGAACAUUCAAUUUUGCAUAUUUGUUAGUAAAUUAAUAUAAUUACCAAUUUUGUAUCUUUAUAUUCGAAUGUUCAGGAAAGAUCCUCAGCCUGGCCAAGAAUCUUCAAGUAUCUGUCGAUUCGCUCUCUCUGUCGAAUACUUGUUAGCUUCACCUCUCAUUAUUUUGUCUUUAUGUUAUUGCAUUAUAUUCUCUCAAUUAUCUUCUUUAGUUAUUUUUAGCCUGUUUAUUUGAUUAGAUUUUAUAUCUGAAGGAUGUUUGAUUUUUUUUAAUUGCCCAGAUGAAAGGAAAAAUUGAUUCAUCGGUUCUUCUUUUGUUUUUGACAUUGAUAUAUGAUAGAAUAUGCUUAGCUGAGCUUAAUGCCGUAAUAUUUAGCCUUUUUUCUUUUGGGUAUUUUGUGGUUUCUGAAUGCGAAGAGAAUUAUUAUCAUAGGUUUUUUGUUCUGUUUGGUAUGCUUGAAAAGGAUUAAAUAUACGAAAUACGCCAGCAAUGUGUAUCGUGUCCGAUAUCUUAACAGGCUAUGUUGAGACCAUAUGCAUGUGGCAAAGACUAGGGGUUAGUUGAGAGGUCAGGGUCAGUGGUUUGUGUUUAUUACACAUGAGAAAUUCUUCAUGCCUGCCAACCUUGUGAAAAAGCCAUGAAUUUCUUACUUCCCUAAUGUUAUAAGGUUUGACAGGAGCUCAAGUUUGUUAAGCAGAUUUCAGGGAUAUAUCAAGUUCCCUAUAAGAUUUCUCUAUCAUGGAUUUGACAUCCCUAAAAGGCUACUUGCUAGCUUUGCUUUUAUCCUUUUUGCAAUUCUGCAUCAUCAAGUCUACGUUGGAAUUUGGCUGAUAAGUGAUUUAUGCAUAAGCAAAUAUUUCAUUAGGAGACAAAGAGUUUCAAAUGGAAGCAGCUAAACCCCCUGAGAGAUUUUCUGCAGAUUUUGUUAUGGGAGGGGUGGCUGCAAUAAUGGCAGAGAGUUUGUUACUUUCUGGAGAAGUAACCAGGGCAAUGUCAUAUGAUACUUCCCUACGCAGGCUUUCAAUUUUGCACUCAAAGGUUAAUUUAAAAACAGUUUUUACUGCUCAAAAGAGAAGGAUGGUUACAUAAAGCGGUUUACUGGAAACUUGGCUUCAGGGAGUGCUGCUGGAGCCACAACUUCUAUGUUCUUAUACCAUUUGGAUUAUGCACAUACUUGAUUAGGCACUGAUGCAAGGGAGUGCCCUAUUAACGGACAAUGACAGUUUAAAGGGCUACUGGAUGUGUACCAUAAAGCCUUGUCUACUGAUGGCAUAGCAGGCUUGUAUCCAGGUUUUGGGGUUUCAGUCAUUGGAAUUUCCUUGUACCAAGGCAUGUACUUUUGGGCUGUAUGGCACACUGAAGCCUAUCGUUUUGGUGGGGCCAUUUGAGGUAUCUCUCAAUUCCUUUAUUUGGAGCUUGAAACUGUGAGAGUGUGCAUAGACUCCACCUUAGUAUUUUAAGUCAAGCACUUUGAUAAUUGGCCAGAUGAUUUUGAACUUCCAGUUUGAGAACUCAUUACAAGUUCUCAUAGUCGUUUUGUUGGAAAAACAAUCUUAUUUAAAGUUAAUUUUGCAUCCUGGUAAAUCUUUGCUGGCAUACUCUUCCAGAACCCAUACUACGAAUUUCCAGCAAAUAUUUCCCUUGUUUGCAGGGUAAUUUCUUUGUUACUUUUCUGUUGGGUUGGAGCAUCACCAGCGUCUCAGGAGUCUGUGCCUAUCCCUUUGAUACUCUGCGAUGGAGAAUGAUGCUUACUUCUGGAUAACCGAUGAAGUAUCACAAUAUACCAUGCAUGCAUAACAUGAGAUCAUUCAAAUUGAGGGUUUCAGGGUGCUGUUCCGAGGGGUUACUGCAAAUGUGCUUCUUGGUGUGGCAGGGCUGGAGUGCUUGCAGGGUAUGAUCAACUUCAUCGAAUUGCAUAUACGUGGGGAUAUAUCUUUGAGCCAUAUCAAAAGGCAUUAAAGUGAAUCCUGAACGUGGAAGCUGUAAACUAGUGUAGUUCAUAAUUGGUCAUAUCUAAAAGGGGGCUGAAAGUUUAUGAAAGGUUUUAGAGCCAUAGAUAAAAUGAGGGUAAAACAGGUUUGGAGCGGAGUGAGGAAGAAAAUGUUCAUUGAUUGAUAUUGCUUCCUCCUAGAGUUGCCUUGACCAAAGGUUUUUUCAAGCACAUUGCUUGUACAGUUGAAAGAAUUGAUUGAUCUAUUUGUAAAACAAUUCAUAAAAUUAUUGAUUUUAAUAAGGAAAAUAAUU